ACGAAGGUCCCGAGCGUUGUUCGGAAUCACUGGGCGUAAAGGGAGCGUAGGCGGCGCGGUAAGUCGGAUGUGAAAUCCCGGGGCUCAACCCCGGAACUGCAUCUGAUACUGCCGUGCUAGAGUAAUGGAGAGGUAGCUGGAAUUAUCGGUGUAGCAGUGAAAUGCGUAGAUAUCGAUAGGAACACUCGUGGCGAAAGCGAGCUACUGGACAUUUACUGACGCUGAGGCUCGAAGGCUAGGGGAGCGAAAGGG
rnacentral:rRNA from 1 species